rnacentral:tRNA from 1 species
GGGCCCGUAGCUCAGUGGCAGAGCGGUCGGCUCAUAACCGAUUGGUCGUAGGUUCGAAACCUACCGGGCCCA